UGAUAAUAUCACUUUUAGAUAGUCCUAUCUAGCCAUCUUUAGCUCCCGGUUUUUUAGGACUAUCCUAUAAUGCUC
rnacentral:sRNA from 1 species